UUAAGCGACUAAGCGUACACGGUGGAUGCCCUGGCAGUCAGAGGCGAUGAAGGACGUGCUAAUCUGCGAAAAGCGUCGGUAAGGUGAUAUGAACCGUUAUAACCGGCGAUGUCCGAAUGGGGAAACCCAGUGCAAUUCGUUGCACUAUCGUUAACUGAAUACAUAGGUUAACGAGGCGAACCGGGGGAACUGAAACAUCUAAGUACCCCGAGGAAAAGAAAUCAACCGAGAUUCCCCCAGUAGCGGCGAGCGAACGGGGAGCAGCCCAGAGUCUGAAUCAGCUUGUGUGUUAGUGGAACGGUCUGGAAAGUCCGACGGUACAGGGUGAUAGUCCCGUACACCAAAAUGCACAGGCUGUGAACUCGAAGAGUAGGGCGGGACACGUGGUAUCCUGUCUGAAUAUGGGGGGACCAUCCUCCAAGGCUAAAUACUCCUGACUGACCGAUAGUGAACCAGUACCGUGAGGGAAAGGCGAAAAGAACCCCGGCGAGGGGAGUGAAAAAGAACCUGAAACCGUGUACGUACAAGCAGUGGGAGCACCUUCGGGUGUGACUGCGUACCUUUUGUAUAAUGGGUCAGCGACUUAUAUUCUGUAGCAAGGUUAACCGUAUAGGGGAGCCGCAGGGAAACCGAGUCUUAACUGGGCGUUAAGUUGCAGGGUAUAGACCCGAAACCCGGUGAUCUAGCCAUGGGCAGGUUGAAGGUUGGGUAACACUAACUGGAGGACCGAACCGACUAAUGUUGAAAAAUUAGCGGAUGACUUGUGGCUGGGGGUGAAAGGCCAAUCAAACCGGGAGAUAGCUGGUUCUCCCCGAAAGCUAUUUAGGUAGCGCCUCGUGAACUCAUCUUCGGGGGUAGAGCACUGUUUCGGCUAGGGGGUCAUCCCGACUUACCAACCCGAUGCAAACUACGAAUACCGAAGAAUGUUAUCACGGGAGACACACGGCGGGUGCUAACGUCCGUCGUGAAGAGGGAAACAACCCAGACCGCCAGCUAAGGUCCCAAAGUCAUGGUUAAGUGGGAAACGAUGUGGGAAGGCACAGACAGCCAGGAUGUUGGCUUAGAAGCAGCCAUCAUUUAAAGAAAGCGUAAUAGCUCACUGGUCGAGUCGGCCUGCGCGGAAGAUGUAACGGGGCUAAACCAUGCACCGAAGCUGCGGCAGCGACACUAUGUGUUGUUGGGUAGGGGAGCGUUCUGUAAGCCUGCGAAGGUGACCUGUGAGGGUUGCUGGAGGUAUCAGAAGUGCGAAUGCUGACAUAAGUAACGAUAAAGCGGGUGAAAAGCCCGCUCGCCGGAAGACCAAGGGUUCCUGUCCAACGUUAAUCGGGGCAGGGUGAGUCGACCCCUAAGGCGAGGCCGAAAGGCGUAGUCGAUGGGAAACAGGUUAAUAUUCCUGUACUUGGUGUUACUGCGAAGGGGGGACGGAGAAGGCUAUGUUAGCCGGGCGACGGUUGUCCCGGUUUAAGCAUGUAGGCUGAUUAUCCAGGCAAAUCCGGAUAAUCAAGGCUGAGGUGUGAUGACGAGGCACUACGGUGCUGAAGUAACAAAUGCCCUGCUUCCAGGAAAAGCCUCUAAGCAUCAGGUAACAUCAAAUCGUACCCCAAACCGACACAGGUGGUCAGGUAGAGAAUACCAAGGCGCUUGAGAGAACUCGGGUGAAGGAACUAGGCAAAAUGGUGCCGUAACUUCGGGAGAAGGCACGCUGGUGUGUAGGUGAAGUCCCUGCGGAUGGAGCUGAGACCAGUCGAAGAUACCAGCUGGCUGCAACUGUUUAUUAAAAACACAGCACUGUGCAAACACGAAAGUGGACGUAUACGGUGUGACGCCUGCCCGGUGCCGGAAGGUUAAUUGAUGGGGUUAUCCGUAAGGAGAAGCUCUUGAUCGAAGCCCCGGUAAACGGCGGCCGUAACUAUAACGGUCCUAAGGUAGCGAAAUUCCUUGUCGGGUAAGUUCCGACCUGCACGAAUGGCGUAAUGAUGGCCAGGCUGUCUCCACCCGAGACUCAGUGAAAUUGAACUCGCUGUGAAGAUGCAGUGUACCCGCGGCAAGACGGAAAGACCCCGUGAACCUUUACUAUAGCUUGACACUGAACAUUGAGCCUUGAUGUGUAGGAUAGGUGGGAGGCUUUGAAGCGUGGACGCCAGUCUGCGUGGAGCCAACCUUGAAAUACCACCCUUUAAUGUUUGAUGUUCUAACGUUGGCCCCUUACCGGGGUUGCGGACAGUGUCUGGUGGGUAGUUUGACUGGGGCGGUCUCCUCCCAAAGCGUAACGGAGGAGCACGAAGGUUAGCUAAUCCUGGUCGGACAUCAGGAGGUUAGUGCAAUGGCAUAAGCUAGCUUGACUGCGAGCGUGACGGCGCGAGCAGGUGCGAAAGCAGGUCAUAGUGAUCCGGUGGUUCUGAAUGGAAGGGCCAUCGCUCAACGGAUAAAAGGUACUCCGGGGAUAACAGGCUGAUACCGCCCAAGAGUUCAUAUCGACGGCGGUGUUUGGCACCUCGAUGUCGGCUCAUCACAUCCUGGGGCUGAAGUAGGUCCCAAGGGUAUGGCUGUUCGCCAUUUAAAGUGGUACGCGAGCUGGGUUUAGAACGUCGUGAGACAGUUCGGUCCCUAUCUGCCGUGGGCGCUGGAGAAUUGAGGGGGGCUGCUCCUAGUACGAGAGGACCGGAGUGGACGCAUCACUGGUGUUCGGGUUGUCAUGCCAAUGGCACUGCCCGGUAGCUAAAUGCGGAAGAGAUAAGUGCUGAAAGCAUCUAAGCACGAAACUUGCCCCGAGAUGAGUUCUCCCUGAGACUUUAAGUCUCCUGAAGGAACGUU
rnacentral:rRNA from 1 species